AUGCUGCAAGGUCACGAAUCCUUCUUCGGCUGGUGGCAGGCAUCCACGUUAUCUGCUCCAGCUUCCCUUCGCAAAGGCACUGCCUCCCUUGGGAUCAUCGUGGCCCGGACCCUCUGGAAGCAUAGGAAUGCUUGCACCUUUGACGACACCCGCCCAUCAGUUACUGAAGCUUCCCGAGCUGCCCUGGCCGAAGCCGCAAUGUGGGCCACGGCUGGUGCAAAGGGACUACGUGUUUUCAUCUUUGAACCACCUUGA
rnacentral:rRNA from 1 species